rnacentral:rRNA from 1 species
UACGUAGGGGGCGAGCGUUAUCCGGAAUUACUGGGCGUAAAGCGCACGCAGGCGGUUCGCCAAGUUUGGAGUGACAGUUGUCGGCUCAACCGACAAAGGACUUCAAAAACUGGUGAACUUGAGGACGAGAGAGGAACAUGGAACUCCAGGUGUAGUAGUGAAAUGCGUAGAUAUCUGGAAGAACACCAAUGGCGAAGGCAAUGUUCUGGCUCAUUUCUGACGCUCAGGUGCGAAAGCCAGGGGAGCGAACGGG